GCCAGAAGUCAUAUCACCCUGCAACUCACAACUGCCAACCCACUGAAGCUAAGCAUGUGUGAGCCUGGUCAGUAUUUGAAUGGGAGACCUCCUGGGAAAGCUAAUGUUGCUGCUGGAA
rnacentral:rRNA from 1 species